UCCACGCCGUAAACGAUGGGUACUAGGUGUUGCGGUUUUUUAAUAACUGCAGUGCCAAAGUGAAAACAUUAAGUACCCCGCCUGGGGAGUACGGUCUCAAGAUUAAAACUCAAAGGAAUUGACGGGGGCCCGCACAAGCGGUGGAGUAUGUGGUUUAAUUCGAUGCAACGCGAAGAACCUUACCUGGCCUUGACACCCCGGGAAGUCUUUGGAAACAAGGAUGUGCUCUUCGG
rnacentral:rRNA from 1 species